rnacentral:rRNA from 1 species
GACGAACGCUGGCGGCGUGCUUAACACAUGCAAGUCGAACGGAAAGGCCCUGCUUUUGUGGGGUGCUCGAGUGGCGAACGGGUGAGUAACACGUGAGUAACCUGCCCUUGACUUUGGGAUAUCUUCAGGAAACUGGGGCUAAUACCGGAUAGGAGCUCCUGCUGCAUGGUGGGGGUUGGAAAGUUUCGGCGGUUGGGGAUGGACUCGCGGCGUAUCAGCUUGUUGGUGGGGUAGUGGCUUACCAAGGCUUGGAGGGGUAGCCGGCCUGAGCGGGUGACCGGCCACAUUGGGUCGGGGAUACGGCCCAGACUCCUACGGGAGGGGACAGUGGGGAAUAGUGCACAAUGGGCGGAAGCCUGAUGCAGCAACGCCGCGUGCGGGAUGACGGCCUUCGGGUUGUAAACCGCUUUCGCCUGUGACGAAGCGUGAGUGACGGUAAUGGGUAAAGAAGCACCGGCUAACUACGUG